CUUUUCACAUCUGCAAGGACACUUGGAGGCAACUGCCCAAGGCCACUCUGAGGAGGGUUGAAUGUUCUUUAUUAAAAGGACUGAGGAUCAUGUGUGUUGGUGGGCCUUGGACUCUGCUCUAAGACUCAUGGAGGCAACCACUCAAGGUCACUCUGAGAAGGGUUGAACGUGCUUUAUUAAAAGGACUGAGGAUCAUGUGUGUUGGUGUGUCCCGGAGUCUGCUCUAAGUAUCAUACUUCCCUGGGCUGAUUCCUGAUUCCAACACAACGCUGGAGGUGUAGGAGUCAUAGUACAGAAGACGCUGUGGGGCCUUCCCCUCCUGGUGUAGGUACCAGUGGAUGUAGCCGGUACUUCCUUCAGCAAGAUCACAAGUGAUUUCAGCAGAUGACCCAGUCUGCCUGAUGACUGACUUCGUUCUCCCUUCCAAGUUGGAAGAUUUCUGACUGGCUGCAAUGGGAACAACACAAAAUAUAAUGAGGAAUUCCUUAGUAUGGCAAUCCUUGCAAAAGAAGAAAAUAAAGAAAA
rnacentral:lncRNA from 1 species